CCGGGGGAUUAGUGGGGGCCAGGAGCAGCCCACUCUGCUUCCCUCGCCCCGGCCCCAGCCGUGUCACUCGGGGUAUGGGGGAAGGGAUCCACCCCCGCCCUCGGCAGAAGCGGAGCAGCCCGGCCCCAGCCCGUUCCGCUCUGCCAGAUCCCAGCCGUAGAGCUCCGCUUCCCGCUGCAGGUGAGUGCGGGACCUUUCCCCAACCCCACCCUCCCAGCGACACAGCUGGGGCUCGGGCAAGGGCAAGGAAAGCGGAGCGGGCUGGGGCUGCAUCGCUCUGCUUCCCGCUGCCUGUGAGUUUGGGGGGCACCAUUUUCCCAACCUCCCCACACUCACCAGCAGCAGGAAGUGGAGCAGCCCAGCCCCAGCCUGCUCUACUCCAUCAGUUCCCAGCCGCGUUGCUCUGCGUCCUGCCGCAGGACUGUCAACAUGGCACCUUUUGAAGAUGAUCCUGUCCUCAAAUGUUUCCAGAAAGGAGGUUUCAGAAUUGGGAUGCAUGAAUUAUGUUAUUGCUUCUUAAGAGGAAACAGCUGCUGCUGUUCAUGCAAUAACAACGAUAAAGCCUCAUGUACACAUUUCGAGAAAUUUCCAAGAGGUUGAUUGUGACCACUGACAGGAACUCACAGGCUUGCAGCAUGAAUGGGAGGUAGAAGGGGAACCAUGGGGAAAAAGAGGAAACAUUCACUUGAAGAUGAAACUAAAAGAAAAAAUAGCUAGGCUACUGCUUAGCUAACAGCUUAAAAGUUAUAAUACUUGAUAUUGGGAGAAAGAGGGCUGGUAAGUACAUGGACUGGCUUGAAUCCUUCUUUCUUAUGUGGCUCAAUAGCUGUGAAGCUACUUACUUCCCCCUCCUGUAUAUAAGCUGGAACUAUUGACAUGGGUGGCAGGCAAAGCUUCCCCUGGGGGAGGCUAGCUUCCUGUCCUGCCUUUUCUGCUCAUGGCCCCACCCACACUCCAGCCCCGCUCUGACCCAGGCCUCGCUCCCGCUCCUACCCAGGCCUCACCCCCUCCCCUGCUCCGCUCAGCCCCCCCACGGCUGCUCGCUGCAUCUCUUCUCUCCUCCAUCUCCCCUCCCACGCGAGGCCACCCACUGCAUCCCUUCUCCCGCCCCCGCCACCACGAGACCCUCCUUCCCACAAUGUCCCUCCCCUCCUCAGCCCAGGAGACCUGGAAUAUCAAAGGCAGUGAUACAGUACUGUAGAAUGGACACGGGUACUCUGGAUUAAGGAUUUAAUUAUAAGAAUUCUCAACUAGUUUAAAACUGAAAUUAUUUCUGAUUAUGGUAAAAUAAAGAUCUUUGUAAUCUAACUCCA
rnacentral:lncRNA from 1 species